CGAAGGGGCUAGCGUUGCUCGGAAUCACUGGGCGUAAAGGGCGCGUAGGCGGCCAUUCAAGUCGGGGGUGAAAGCCUGUGGCUCAACCACAGAAUUGCCUUCGAUACUGUUUGGCUUGAGACCGGAAGAGGUAAGUGGAACUGCGAGUGUAGAGGUGAAAUUCGUAGAUAUUCGCAAGAACACCAGUGGCGAAGGCGGCUUACUGGUCCGGUUCUGACGCUGAGGCGCGAAAAGCGUGGGGGAGCAAACAGGAUU
rnacentral:rRNA from 1 species